rnacentral:rRNA from 3 species
GGACUACCGGGGUAUCUAAUCCCGUUUGCUCCCCUGGCUUUCGCGCCUCAGCGUCAGAAGAGGUCCAGCGUGCCGCCUUCGCCACCGGAGUUCCUAUUGAUAUCAACGCAUUUCACCGCUCCACCAAUAGUUCCGCACGCCCCUACCUCCCUCGAGAUACCCAGUAUCCGCGGCAGUUCGACAGUUGAGCUGCCGGAUUUCACCACGGACUUGAAUACCCGCCUACGCGCCCUUUAAGCCCAGUGAUUCCGAAUAACGUUUGCUCGGUUCGUCUUACCGCGGCUGCUGGCAC